AUCACUUUUCACCUUUUGGCUAAGAUCAAGUGUAGUAU
rnacentral:snRNA from 1 species